rnacentral:rRNA from 1 species
UACAGAGGUCUCAACCGUUGUUCGGAUUCAUUGGGCGUAAAGGGUGCGUAGGCGGUCGCGCAAGUCGGAUGUGAAAUCUCGGGGCUCAACCCUGAAACUGCAUUCGAUACUGCGUGGCUAGGGUACUGGAGAGGAGACUGGAAUUUACGGUGUAGCAGUGAAAUGCGUAGAUAUCGUAAGGAAGACCAGUGGCGAAGGCGAGUCUCUGGACAGUUACCGACGCUGAGGCACGAAGGCCAGGGGAGCAAACGGG